rnacentral:rRNA from 1 species
CUACGGGCCGCAGCAGUGGGGAAUAUUGCACAAUGGGCGCAAGCCUGAUGCAGCCAUGCCGCGUGUGUGAAGAAGGCCUUCGGGUUGUAAAGCACUUUCAGUAGGGAGGAAGGCCUCGUAGUUAAUACCUGCGAGGAUUGACGUUACCUACAGAAGAAGCACCGGCUAACUCAGUGCCAGCAGCCGCGGUAAUACUGAGGGUGCAAGCGUUAAUCGGAAUUACUGGGCGUAAAGCGCGCGUAGGCGGCUUGUUAAGCCAGAUGUGAAAGCCCCGGGCUCAACCUGGGAACUGCAUUUGGAACUGGCUAGCUAGAGUACAGUAGAGGGUGGUGGAAUUUCCAGUGUAGCGGUGAAAUGCGUAGAGAUUGGAAGGAACAUCAGUGGCGAAGGCGGCCACCUGGACUGAUACCGACGCUGAGGUGCGAAAGCGUGGGGAGCAAACAGGAUUAGAUACCCUUGUAGUC